rnacentral:rRNA from 1 species
AUUGAACGCUGGCGGCAUGCUUUACACAUGCAAGUCGAACGGUAACAGGCCGCAAGGUGCUGACGAGUGGCGAACGGGUGAGUAAUGCAUCGGAACGUGCCCAGUCGUGGGGGAUAACGCAGCGAAAGCUGUGCUAAUGCCGCAUACGAUCUAUGGAUGAAAGCGGGGGACCGUAAGGCCUCGCGCGAUUGGAGCGGCCGAUGUCAGAUUAGGUAGUUGGUGGGGUAAAGGCUCACCAAGCCAACGAUCUGUAGCUGGUCUGAGAGGACGACCAGCCACACUGGGACUGAGACACGGCCCAGACUCCUACGGGAGGCAGCAGUGGGGAAUUUUGGACAAUGGGCGCAAGCCUGAUCCAGCAAUGCCGCGUGCAGGAAGAAGGCCUUCGGGUUGUAAACUGCUUUUGUACGGAACGAAAAGGUUUGGGUUAAUACCCUGGGCCGAUGACGGUACCGUAAGAAUAAGCACCGGCUAACUACGUGCCAGCCGCCGCCGUAA